rnacentral:rRNA from 1 species
GACGCUGGCGGCGUGCCUAAUACAUGCAAGUCGAGCGAAUGAUUAGAGAAGCUUGCUUCUCUCUGAUUUAGCGGCGGACGGGUGAGUAACACGUGGGUAACCUACCCUAUAGACUGGGAUAACUUCGGGAAACCGGAGCUAAUACCGGAUAAUACUUCGAAACACAUGUUUUGAAGUUGAAAGAUGGUUUCGGCUAUCACUAUAGGGAUGGACCCGCGGCGCAUUAGCUAGUUGGUGAGGUAACGGCUCACCAAGGCAACGAUGCGUAGCCGACCUGAGAGGGUGAUCGGCCACACUGGGACUGAGACACGGCCCAGACUCCUACGGGAGGCAGCAGUAGGGAAUCUUCCACAAUGGACGAAAGUCUGAUGGAGCAACGCCGCGUGAGUGAAGAAGGAUUUCGGUUCGUAAAAACUCUGUUGCAAGGGAAGAACAAGUAGCGUAGUAACUGGCGCUACCUUGACGGUACCUUGUUAGAAAGCCACGGCUAACUACGUGCCAGCCGCUGC